AGCGCAGGAAGCUCACGGAACUCUUCGGAGGGAAGUGAAGGGAAUGAGCGGCGGACGGGUGAGUAACACGUAAGGAACCUGCCCCAAGGAUUGGGAUAACUCCGAGAAAUCGGAGCUAAUACCGAAUAGUUCUUCAGACCGCAUGGUCUGAUGAUGAAAGGCGCUCCGGCGUCACCUUGGGAUGGCCUUGCGGUGCAUUAGCUAGUUGGUGGGGUAAUGGCCCACCAAGGCGACGAUGCAUAGCCGACCUGAGAGGGUGAUCGGCCACACUGGGACUGAGACACGGCCCAGACUCCUACGGGAGGCAGCAGUAGGGAAUCUUCCACAAUGGACGAAAGUCUGAUGGAGCAACGCCGCGUGAGUGAUGAAGGUUUUCGGAUCGUAAAACUCUGUUGUAAGGGAAGAACAAGUACGAGAGGGAAUGCUCGUACCUUGACGGUACCUUGCGAGAAAGCCACGGCUAACUACGUGCCAGCAGCCGCGGUAAUACGUAGGUGGCAAGCGUUGUCCGGAAUUAUUGGGCGUAAAGCGCGCGCAGGCGGCCUUUUAAGUCUGAUGUGAAAGCCCCCGGCUCAACCGGGGAGGGUCAUUGGAAACUGGAAGGCUUGAGUACAAAAAAAAAGAGUGGAAUUCCAUGUGUAGCGGGGAAAUGCGUAGAGAUGUGGAAGAACACCAGUGGCGAAGG
rnacentral:rRNA from 1 species